rnacentral:rRNA from 1 species
AUUGAACGCUGGCGGCAGGCCUAACACAUGCAAGUCGAACGCGUGGCGGACGGGUGAGUAAUGUCUGGGAAUCUGCGUUAUGGAGGGGGAUCACUACUGGAAACGGUCGCUAAUCCCGCAUACCCUGAGAUGUGCCCAUAUGGGAUUGGCUAGUUGGUGGGGUAACGGCUCACCAGGGCGACGCUCCCUAGCUGGUCUGAGAGGAUGACCAGCCACACUGGAACUGAGACACGGUCCAGACUCCGACGGGAGGCAGCAGUGGGGAAUAUUGCACAAUGGGCGCAAGCCUGAUGCAGCCAUGCCGCGUGUAUGAAGAAGGCCUUCGGGUUGUAAAGUACUUUCAGCGGGGAGGCGUUACCCGCAGAAGAAGCACCGGCUAACUCCGUGCCAGCAGCCGCGGUAAUUC